AUUGAACGCUGGCGGCAUGCCUUACACAUGCAAGUCGAACGGCAGCACGGGUGCUUGCACCUGGUGGCGAGUGGCGAACGGGUGAGUAAUACAUCGGAACGUACCUUAUCGUGGGGGAUAACGCAGCGAAAGCUGUGCCAAUACCGCAUACGCCCUGAGGGGGAAAGCGGGGGAUCGCAAGACCUAACGCGAUUAGAGCGGCCGAUGCCUGAUUAGCUUGUUGGUGGGGUAAAAGCCCACCAAGGCGACGAUCAGGAGCUGGUCUGAGAGGACGAUCAGCCACACUGGGACUGAGACACGGCCCAGACUCCUACGGGAGGCAGGAGUGGGGAAUUUUGGACAAUGGGGGCAACCCUGAUCCAGCAAUGCCGCGUGAGUGAAGAAGGCCUUCGGGUUGUAAAGCUCUUUUGUCAGGGAAGAAACACCGGCUCUAACACAGUCCGGGAAUGACGGUACCUGAAGAAUAAGCACCGGCUAACUACGUGCCAGCAGCCGCGGUAA
rnacentral:rRNA from 1 species